GCGGGAGCGCGCGUCGGCCCGCAUCGGCUCGGAGCUGCUCGGCGCGGCCCGACUCCGUCCGACUCGGCCGAGAGCGGUUCGGCCCGGCCCGGCCGCGGGCACCGCGCAGCCCGCGGGCCCCGGGUCCCCUCUCGUGCCCGCUCCCCCGGGGGCUCGCAGGACUCGGCGCCGUGCCCGAGGCUCGCCCGAACCGAGCGCACGGUGCCGGUACUUUGUAACAACGAAACGACCGGAGCCGGGAUCCGUCAGAGACCCCCAGCCCAACCUGCAGCACCGCUGCGGCUGUAACACACGUGCAAAGCAUCCCCUUGCAGCUGCUCCGACAUUUGCUAAUCAUAAGGAACCGCUCCUUAAUGCUGGUGGCAGAAGAGGGGAGCGGAAGGGCUGGACACCCCCCAGGAGCCCCUCCUGGUACAGCGGUGGUGCUGCACUGCUGCUCAGGCCAAGGCACGUUCUUUUGCAUUCCCACUCCUGCUGAGUCCAGAAGAGCACUGUACCACCAUGCAAAGCCUCCCGAGAAGCACCCAGCCACCACUCAGCAUCCUUCACAAGCAUCUCAAGUUGCCAAAAACUGGAACAAACGACAGGAGGCAUCAGAUGAUCUGUCAGCUUUCGAUUCCAAAGAGCCCUUUGUGGUGGUGAAAGAGCUCCUCGAGCUGGGUGCCGGGGCCACCCAUCGCAGCGUGGAGAAGGUUGAACGCAGAAAGCAGCGUCUGGAAUUUCCUGGGCUGGGUGCAGGGGGAGCCGAGAAAGGAAUCAGCCUCUGAAAAUACAAACACCACUUCCACAUCUUCAAACAAAAAAAUGUUUGUGUGCCUAUUUUCAAACAUCUACCUCUUGUUUUUAAGCCUUGUAUGAAAAAUGGAAUUAAUGGUUUUGUCAAGUACCGAAGUAACAGAGAUAUCUUUUUAAAUAAGUCUAUCUUCCACAGAUAGAUCAUUUCAGGAGUCACGGUACCGAGGUGGGUGUUUCUUGCUGACACCGUUGUGGAAAUUCCAGCAUUUGCUUUCAAAGUGCAUUUUCCAUUUUCUGCAUAGCCCCGAGUGUGACUAUGUACAGGAGCGCCCAAUAAAGUACUCAACAAAAUUAUUUCCUGUGCUUCC
rnacentral:lncRNA from 1 species